rnacentral:lncRNA from 1 species
AUUUAAGUCACUUUUUGAGUAUCUGCUUGCCUAACAUCUCUGAUUCUUUCUCAUCCAGGGAGAUGAGGCCUGGCUCCAGAUGCAUUGAAUCUGCUGGCCUUCUGCUCUUCCUUCUCACGUCAGUGUGGGUGAGGCACUGUGUGCAUGUCUGCAACAAGGUGGCUCAAUGGAGUCUCAACUACAGCAAAGCCAUCAUGUGUUACUCCCGGGAGAACAUUCUGAGGUUCAAAGAGCAAGGAUCCAGGCAAAUGCGGCUCUGCUCUGCGUGUCAUCAUGACUGGCCAAGUCCAUCCAGGCAGCUCCCUGCAGGAGGGCUGGAGUGAUGGCUGUCAUCGCCUGCCUUAUGCACUUGUGCCUCCUCCUGGAUUUGCUGCAGGGGGCUUGGGGGCUCUGUGUGUGGAAGCCUCUCAGAGAGCGGUGGAACAAAGGAGAACCCAACAAACGUGUAAAAGUCACUGGAUGAUUCACAAACAGCAGCAAGAAGGAAAUGUUUCCCAAGAUGAGUAUGUCAUUUGCUGAAAGUCUGGCCAAAGAUUUAGGAGGAGCUUCAGCUGCCCAAAGGGACCUCAGGGCCCCAGUCCAGAGUGGGGCCCCUAGACCCAGCUGUGAUUCCAAGUAACCUUCACUUCUUUGAAAUAUGCACCCUCAGUGAGCAUCCCCAGCUACCCAGACAGGUGUCAUACUCAUGGUCCCCGAGAGGUGGGAAACCAUGGAACCCUCACUGUUGCUUGACUGGCCCAGGUUGGAUGAAGUGUAGGCCUCCCAGACUCCAGCUUUCCUGGAGAUCAGAAACCACUAUUAACACAUUAAGGGACACAUUGUUUUUUGGGUCUUGGACUAAAUUAUAAGAAGCACUGUGACUUCCAAAAGCAGCCUGAGACCCCCUGAGUCCUCCAGGGGCUUCAUGCUGACAGGCUGGGUCAGAAAUACUGGCACUUGGGCAAGACAUCUGCUUUUGUUUCCAGCAUCGAGGAGAUUUACUGAUAACCAGAGCCACGUUCUAGCAGUCUGAUCUGGUGUGUGAUGUUCCUAUUCAAGGGGGUUAUAGCGCACCAUUCUGCACCAGGAGAAAUGUUGGCCAUCAGUGCAAAUACUGGGGGUUUCAACAGCUAGGAAAAUAAAAGCUUUGAAAUAAACA